GCUUUAAGUUUCAAUUUUGAAUCAUCAAAAUUGUUUUUUGUUUCUUUUUUUCUGCACUGAUUGGAUGUUGCUGUGUUGCGUCAUGCUUUCAGGUUCAGAUAUACUUAUUGGUAUCCAACUUUAUGUAUUCAGGUUUUCCCUUCUCAAAUCCUUAGUCUUUUUGGUGCAUGCUUCUUGUUUGGUAGCAUCUAGUUUUCCCUCCUGAAUUUAUUGAUAUUCUGCCAAGGUUCAUCUUCUGUUACUGGUAUUACAUACUAGUACCUGAAUUUUAGUGAAAGAUUGCUUUUUGAAACAGUUAAUAAUGACAAUUGCAAGUGUAUUUUCGGACGUGAGGAGCAAGGGAAAGGGCAAGGACGUUGUUGAAGAGAACUCGCCCUUGCUGCCAAGCUUGAAGAAUGAGAAUGGAGAGUUUAAUGAAUUUAAUGGCGCUUCAUUUCCCGGUGCUGUGUUCAAUCUCUCAACCACGAUUGUGGGAGCUGGAAUCAUGUCUCUUCC